UCGCUGUGAUGACUGAUUCCAAAACCAUUGGUAGUUUCCACCAGCUGCGGUGCUGGCCAGUUCCUUCCUUGGAUAUCUGAGUGA
rnacentral:snoRNA from 1 species